AAGAGAAAUCGAGUCUGAAGAGGGCGAAUAAGUCAUAUGAAAUAGACCCGAAACCGAGUGACCUAUCCAUGUCCAGGCUGAAGCUUGAGUAAAAUCAAGUGGAGGGCCGAACUCAUAGACGUUAAAAAGUCUCGGGAUGAGGUGUGGAUAGCGGAGAAAUUCCAAUCGAACUCGGAGAUAGCUGGUUCUCCUCGAAAUAGUUUUAGGACUAGCCUUGUUUCGUAGCAUUUGGGGGUAGAGCACUGAAUGAGGUAGGGGCCAACACGGUUACUGAACUCUAUCAAACUACGAAUACCAAAUGUGUAAGAACAAGAGUCAGACUGCGGGAGCUAAGUUCCGUGGUCAAAAGGGAAAGAGCCCAGAUCGUCAAUUAAGGUCCCAAAGAUAUAGUUAAGUGGAAAACGAUGUGAUUUUGCGUAAACAACCAGGAUGUUGGCUUAGAAGCAGCCAUUCAUUCAAAGAGUGCGUAAUAGCUCACUGGUCGAGUGAAGUUGCGCGGAAAAUUACCGGGGCUAAACUAUACACCGAAAUUGCGGAUUUGCAUAGAAAUAUGUAAGUGGUAGAGGAGCAUUCUAUAGUAGGACGAAGCAUAAUCGAAAGGAUAUGUGGACGAGAUAGAAGAGAGAAUGCCGGAAUAAGUAGCGAAAGCAUGGUGAGAAUCCAUGCCAUCGAAAGUCUAAGGUUUCCUGGGGAAGGUUCGUCCGCCCAGGGUAAGUCGGGACCUAAGGAGAGGCCGAAAAGCGUAUCCGAUGGACAGCAGGUAGAAAUUCCUGCACUACGUAAUACUUAAAAGACAUAAAUGACACAGGAGUGGAAGAUAAGCGAGGAAGAGGAAAGACUCGUAUCGAAAGAUAUAGUGAAAAUUAAAGUAACGAAUUAUCAAGAAGCUAAUGGCGAGAAAAGUUUAUGGAUAUUGUAUUAAGUACCCGUACCGCAAACCGACACAGGUAGAUGAGGAGAAGAUCCUAAGAUGAGCGAGAGAAGCAUUGUUAAGGAACUCGGCAAACUGACCCCGUAACUUCGGAAUAAGGGGUGCUGGAGUAAAAUCCAGUCGCAGAGAAUAGUCCCAAGCAACUGUUUAACAAAAACACAGGUUUCUGCUAAAUCGAAAGAUGAAGUAUAGGAGCUGACACCUGCCCAGUGCUGGAAGGUUAAGGGAAAGAGUUAGACGCAAGUCGAAGCUUAGAACUAAAGCCCCAGUGAACGGCGGCCGUAACUAUAACGGUCCUAAGGUAGCGAAAUUCCUUGUCAGGUAAGUUCUGACCCGCACGAAAGGUGUAAUGAUUUGGGAGCUGUCUCGACAAUGUACUCGGCGAAAUUGUAGUACUAGUGAAGAUGCUAGUUACCUGCGACAAGACAGAAAGACCCCAUGGAGCUUUACUGCAGCUUGAUACUGGGUUUCGGUAAUUUAUGUACAGGAUAGGUGGGAUGCUAAGAAGUAUGUGCGCCAGCGCAUAUGGAGCAGACGUUGGGAUACCACCCUUAAAUUACUGGAAUUCUAACUAUAAGUCCUAAGCGGGCUUGAGGACAAUGUCAGGCGGGCAGUUUGACUGGGGCGGUCGCCUCCUAAAGAGUAACGGAGGCGCGCAAAGGUUUCCUCAGCGCGGACAGAAAUCGCGCGAAAGAGUGCAAAGGCAGAAGGAAGCUUAACUGAGAGACAGACAUGUCGAUCAGAUACGAAAGUAGGUCUUAGUGAUCCGGUGGUUGUAAGUGGAAAUGCCAUCGCUCAACGGACAAAAGUUACCCUGGGGAUAACAGGCUUAUCUCCCCCAAGAGUUCACAUCGACGGGGAGGUUUGGCACCUCGAUGUCGGCUCAUCACAUCCUGGAGCGGAAGUACGUUCCAAGGGUUGGGCUGUUCGCCCAUUAAAGUGGUACGCGAGCUGGGUUCAGAACGUCGUGAGACAGUUCGGUCCUUAUCUGUCGCAGGCGAAGGAUAUUUGAAGGGAGUUGACCUUAGUACGAGAGGACCAGGUUGAAGGAACCGAUGGUGCACCAGUUGUACUACCAAGUGCAUAGCUGGAUAGCUAAGUUCCGAAGGGAUAAACGCUGAAAGCAUCUAAGUGUGAAGCCCACCCUAAGAUAAGAUAUCCCAUAUCGAAAGAUAGU
rnacentral:rRNA from 1 species